rnacentral:rRNA from 1 species
GACGAACGCUGGCGGCGCGCCUAACACAUGCAAGUCGAGCGACGAAAGGACCUUCGGGUCCCUGAAAGCGGCGAACGGGUGAGUAGCACGUGGGUAACCCACCCUCGGUUCUGGGAUAGCCCGGGGAAACCCGGAUUAAUACCGGAUGGCCUCUUCGAUCCGCGGAUCGAGGAGAAAAGGUAGCUUCGGCCUCCGACCGAGGACGGGCCCGCGUCCGAUUAGCUAGUUGGGGGGGUAUCGGCCCACCAAGGCGACGAUCGGUAGCUGGUCUGGGAGGACGAUCAGCCAGACGGGGACUGGGACACGGCCCAGACUCCUACGGGAGGCAGCAGUGGGGAAUCUUGCGCAAUGGGCGGAAGCCUGACGCAGCGACGCCGCGUGCGGGAAGAAGGCCUUCGGGUUGUAAACCGCUUUCAGGAGGGACGAAGCUACUCGGGUGAAUAGCCCAGAGGGUGACGGUACCUCCAGAAGAAGCCCCGGCUAACUACGUGCCAGCCGCCGCCGUAAGAC